rnacentral:snRNA from 1 species
UAUGAGGGAGAGCUGGCUGUGACAUCUAUCACCCCAUUGGCUGCCAGGGUUGAUUCAGCUGAUCUGGGUAGUUAGGUGGGGGUAUCCCAUUCCUCCCCCCCCCCAAGCUGUGUGCUCCAUCAGUUGAAAAAGAUAAACUUCCUCUAUAAAGGAGGGUAGGUCUUUGGUAAAGGGUAUAUUAGAUUAGCAUCUGCGCCCCUUGCUAGAAAUUUCAAGCAAGCUCUCAAAAUGUGUUAUGUGAACCUCAUGAUAAUCACAAAGCAAACAUAUGCAGUAUGUAAACACAAGU